CAGUUGUUGGUAAGUAAAAAUACAAAUAAGGAGGAAAAGGGAUGGCAAUGUUAGGGGCUAAGAAAAACUUGAUUGCUCUCAUUGAUUACAUAAUGGAGGUGUUUGGAGGUAUAACUCAACGCGGUAAAGGCGGCACCGCUGAGCUGGCUGGAAGUGGACGGCAGCUGAGAGUUCGUCGUCUAACAAAGCCUCAUGGUAAGCGACUGUGCGCACUCCGUAGAUUUGAACUGAGUCAUUGUUGUGAAAUCCUUUUGGUGCGGUACUGUCUCACUGCUUUCAAAGGCUACAGUGACGAUUACUUAGCUUCUCAAGAGUCUUUUUAUCUUCACUCUUAUAUAAUCUUCAUUGAAUUAUCACGUGUCAUGAAGAUAAUGCUGAAAAUGACAAUAAUUUCGACUAUAAGCUGCUGGGUGUGUUCAUUGUGUUGGUGGUAUGGUGCAGCAACGUUUCAGCAUGCGGCCCGCGGACUACUGCUGUACAAUCUUAGGGGAGGGGAAUUGACGUCACAAACACAUAAGCCUUUCACACCUUUCACCUUUCCGCUAACCUCAAUUUCAUCUCACUUAGUUUCGAUAGUACAAGUUAUAGACGGCUGUAUUGUUGUUAUUAUUAGUAUUGUUGUUGUUGUUGUUGUUGUUGUUAUAUAUACAUACAUAUAUUAUUUUUUAUUGCUAGAUUCUAUUCAAAGUGCAUGCAUUCAUUCCAAUAUUAAGUUGCAAAUUUGAAAAGGUUCGUGUAUAUAAGAUAGAGACAAUUAAUUAACAUUUUUCUCUCAUGAUUUUUGGGUAUGAAGACGAUUUUAUUUGCAUUAGGUAGGGUCUAUGGAGGUCAAAAUAUUAAUGGCCAGAGUCCUCACUAUUUUAGCCCCAACAUAAAUUUCUGAAUCUACAUAAAAUCACCAAAAACUAACCAGAAUGACUAUGUAAAACGCGGCAUGGUACUAAAGGGGUUAAGAACUUAGUCACUAAGAGUUUGAAGGAACAGUUUUAUUGUUUUUUUUUUUUUUUUUUUUUUUUUUAAGUGCUCUGAUUCAUCGUCGUCAAAGGGAACCCACACCGCCAUUUCCAAGACAACUAGUGCGCUCACCAACACAUUGCUCCUUACUUGAUUUAUCAGGUACUUUUUUACGAAAUACAACUAACAUAUACAUAGUGCAUACUUGAACUUUCUUAACGAGACAUACAACCAAAGACGGACGAAGAACCUGCUUAACAAACUUUUCCUAUAAUUUUUUUUUUCUCUCUCGUUGCAGCAAACCCGGACAGCGGUUGUGUACACCUGAUACUUUCAAUAACGACGUAAUGGGACAAAAAAAAGCACAUGCCUGAGAUCCCGCAGCAAGAUGUGGGAAAAGAGGGAGGGAUACAAGGCAGACAUGGACGAGGCGGCAGUGAGACUCAAGGGUGACGUCGUGCUCUGCUUGGCCCCUGCUGGCGGUUCUGAAUGGAGGCUUCGCACUGUGAAGGCUGGGGGAAGCUGUGCAAUGUUUCCAGACACGGCAUUUGCAACGGUGCUCGGAUUAACAACAUGCAGGAGUGUACCGGUGCGAGGCGUCAACAGUUCAUGUCAAGUCCACCUCAUCACUUGCUGUCACUCUGAUGUCGCCUCAAUCUUAAGCCUUAAAUAUACAUGGAUACGUAUAAC